CCCCUCUCAGGGUCACAUCUGGGGAGUCUCCAGUACUCCGCCAGUCUCGGCUGUGGGAGGCAGAGUCAAGCAGAGGCUUAUCCAUUCCAUUCCUAGCUUGGGCAGGGGCUAGCGAGUGGAAGGCAAUCUGCCUCAAGU